rnacentral:rRNA from 1 species
UACGAAGGGGGCUAGCGUUGUUCGGAAUUACUGGGCGUAAAGCGCGCGCAGGCGGUUCUUCAAGUCAGAGGUGAAAGCCCAGAGCUCAACUCUGGAAUGGCCUUUGAGACUAGAGAACUAGGGUACGGGAGAGGUGAGUGGAAUUCCGAGUGUAGAGGUGAAAUUCGUAGAUAUUCGGAAGAACACCAGUGGCGAAGGCGCUCACUGGCCCGUUACCGACGCUCAGGCGCGACAGCGUGGGGAGCAAACAGG